UACGUAGGGUGCGAGCGUUAAUCGGAAUUACUGGGCGUAAAGCGUGCGCAGGCGGUUCGUCGUGUCCGAUGUGAAAGCCCCGGGCUCAACCUGGGAAAGGCAUUGGAAACUGGCGGACUUGAGUGUGGCAGAGGGGGGUGGAAUUCCGCGUGUAGCAGUGAAAUGCGUAGAGAUGCGGAGGAACACCGAUGGCGAAGGCAGCCCCCUGGGCUAACACUGACGCUCAGGCACGAAAGCGUGGGGAGCAAACAGG
rnacentral:rRNA from 1 species